GCAUAUCAAUAAGCGGAGGAAAAGAAACCAACAGGGAUUGCCUCAGUAACGGCGAGUGAAGCGGCAACAGCUCAAAUUUGAAAUCUGGCCGCAAGGUCCGAGUUGUAAUUUGUAGAGGAUGCUUUUGGCGAGGUGACUUCCGAGUUCCCUGGAACGGGACGCCAUAGAGGGUGAGAGCCCCGUACGGUCGUGCCACCGAGCCUCUGUAAAGCUCCUUCGACGAGUCGAGUAGUUUGGGAAUGCUGCUCUAAAUGGGAGGUGUACGUCUUCUAAAGCUAAAUACCGGCCAGAGACCGAUAGCGCACAAGUAGAGUGAUCGAAAGAUGAAAAGCACUUUGAAAAGAGGGUUAAAAAGUACGUGAAAUUGUUGAAAGGGAAGCAUUCAUGACCAGACUUGGGCUUGGUUGAACAUCCGGCGUUCUCGCCGGUGCACUCUGCCAGCUCAGGCCAGCAUCAGUUUGCCCCGGGGGACAAAGGCGGCGGGAAUGUGGCUCCCUACGGGGAGUGUUAUAGCCCGUCGUGUAAUGCCCUGGGGUGGACUGAGGUUCGCG
rnacentral:sRNA from 1 species